AUGAGUACUGUAAAAUAUAAAGAAGAGCAGAGGAGACAGAAGCUAACAGUAAACAAAACUGAGCAGGAAGGAGGAAGUGGGGGAGACAGUUUUCCAGGCUUUCUCUCCAUCUUCAUUUUCCAGAUCAUACUCCACUAUCUCUCAAUUCAAAUUUGCCCAGCGAACAGGAAGAUGAGGAGGGAAGCAUGAUCAAACUGGAUGUCAAAACGUAGGAGAGAACCAGCAACUCUCAGGAACUGUAAUAAGUUCGCCACUGUUGGAGCAUGAAGAACAAAGAGAGAAGUGGCAAGGGACCACCAGACUUGGAUAAACACUUUACAUGCUCUUAAAGAUUUGUUAACUCUAUCCUAAAGGAAAUGUGGAACUUCGUCAUGUGAUAUAUUAAAUGGGAAUAAGAAACAACUGGUAGACUGUUCAAAGAAAAAACUGAAGAAGAGUAUACAGAUUGGCAAUACACAUGUACCUUCAACAGAAUAAUCAAGAAUAAUACUAAAUAUUAAAGAGAAGGAAUAUGAGCAUCCAACAGAGAUUUAUAAAGAGUUCAGAAAGAUAGGAGAUAAGUGGGAAAGCAUAUUGUUGCAGAAUCUACUGAAACUCUGAAACAGCAGAGUUACCAACAUCACCUAACUUAGUUUCUUUUUUUUUUUUUUUUUUGCUAUUUUUUUAUUUUAUUUAAUGAACAUAAAUUUCCAAAGUACAGCUUAUGGAUUACAAUAGCUUCCCCCCCCCAUAACUUCCCUCCCCCCCAAAACACUCCCCUCUCCCACUCCCUCUCCCCUUCCAUUCACAUCAAGAUUAAUUUUCAAUUCUUUAUAUACAGAAGAUCAAUUUAGCAUAUAUUAAGUAAAGAUUUCAACAGUUUGCACCCACACAGAAACACAAAGUGUAAAAUACUAUUUGAGUUCUAGUUAUAGCAUUAAUUAAACACCUACAAGUAAUUGUGUAUUAAUUACAGAGUUCAACCAAUAGUUUUAAGUAGAACAUAAAAAAUACUAAAAGGGUAAAGUAUUAAGUUCUUUUUUUUUCUUUUUCUUUUUUUUUGUUAUAUAGUUUUUUUUUUAUUUAAUAAAUGUGAAUUUACAAAGUGCA
rnacentral:lncRNA from 1 species